UGGCAGACGGGUGAGUAAUGCAUAGGAAUCUGCCCAGUAGUAUGGGAUAGCCACUAGAAAUGGUGGGUAAUACUGUAUACGCCCUGCGGGGGAAAGAUUUAUCGCUACUGGAUGAGCCUAUGUUAGAUUAGCUAGUUGGUAGGGUAAAGGCCUACCAAGGCAGUGAUCUAUAGCUGGUCUGAGAGGAUGAUCAGCCACACUGGAACUGAGAUACGGUCCAGACUCCUACGGGAGGCAGCAGUGGGGAAUAUUGGACAAUGGGCGCAAGCCUGAUCCAGCUAUGCCGCGUGAGUGAGGAAGGCCUUAGGGUUGUAAAACUCUUUCAGCGGGGAAGAUAAUGACGGUACCCGCAGAAGAAGUCCCGGCAAACUCCGUGCCAGCAGCCGCGGUAAUACGGAGGGGGCAAGCGUUGUUCGGAAUUAUUGGGCGUAAAGGGCAUGUAGGCGGUUUGGUGAGUUAAAGGUGAAA
rnacentral:rRNA from 1 species